GCAUCACACCGGAUUGGAUUGAC
rnacentral:siRNA from 1 species